UUCACAUGCAUGCAACAUGUCGUUUUAUUUAUACCAAACAUGUCAGUCCAUAAAUUUUUCAUUUGCUCAUUUUUUAUAAAUCGAUUUAUGCCUUCAAUCUACAUGGGUAUGUUCAGAUCGGUGUAUUGGCAACGUGAUUACUGCGGAACUAACUAGCUCUCCACAUUGUUACUCCUGUAAUGCACCGAUGAAAGAGUACACAAAAAAUCGGCAUAUGUGUGAAAAGUCUUUACUUAAGGUAUACCCAGCCAGAGCGCUACAGACACCUAAAAUUAUUGGAAAGGUUUACCGAAGCGUCACAGUAGAGUUAACAUAUGAUUUAUGUGAAAAGCAGUUAGACCUUGGGAGAGAAUAUAGAAUCAUUGGAGUGUACGACUAUUUUAGCCAUCAAUUUAAAGCUUGGGGAUUGGAGGGCAUCUAACCCAAGAAUGGAUAAAUAUCA